rnacentral:ncRNA from 1 species
ACAGUACAAACUGAGCAGGCGGUGGACCGUGUCCAUACGCCGGGCCGCUUUCGCGGCAGCGGAUGACGCCCAUCCGCGGGACAGU